GGGCCCGCACAAGCGGCGGAGCAUGUUGCUUAAUUCGAGGCAACGCGAAGAACCUUACCAGGGUUUGACAUCCUGCGAAUUUCUGGGAAACCGGAAAGUGCCUUCGGGAGCGCAGUGACAGGUGGUGCAUGGCUGUCGUCAGCUCGUGUCGUGAGAUGUUGGGUUAAGUCCCGCAACGAGCGCAACCCACGUCUUUAGUUGCCAGCAUUUAGUUGGGCACUCUAGAGAGACCGCCGGUGAUAAACCGGAGGAAGGUGUGGAUGACGUCAAGUCAUCAUGCCCCUUACAUCCUGGGCUACACACGUACUACAAUGCUACGGACAAAGGGCAGCAAACUCGCGAGAGCUAGCAAAUCCCAUAAACCGUGGCUCAGUUCAGAUCGUAGGCUGCAACUCGCCUACGUGAAGGCGGAAUCGCUAGUAAUCGCAGGU
rnacentral:rRNA from 1 species